UAUGUCAUGGUGGUGCUACAUAGUCUAAACAAUGAAAAUUACUAUUGUCCACUUAAGAGUACGUUUCACUUGAAACUUUGCCGAAUUGGAAUUUUGAAUUCACUCUCCCUUUUCUAUUGCAAAUUUUAUCUCAUUGUUAAUCAUUAAAAUACAUCUUGAUCUCAUUCUACUAAUGUACCGAGAGUGACGAACUUAGUAAUGAUGUAUCAUAUUACCUUAUAAUAUUUAAUUAGGUAUACCCUCAAUGGUUGUGUUAAUCAUCAAAAUAACACUAUCAUCCUCAAA
rnacentral:lncRNA from 1 species